GCCGAUGUAGCUCAGAUGGUAGAGCACGUCCAUGGUAAGGACGGGGUCUCGGGUUCAAUUCCCGACAUCGGCU
rfam:Candidatus Magasanikbacteria bacterium RIFCSPHIGHO2_02_FTLL_45_10 rifcsphigho2_02_scaffold_9388, whole genome shotgun sequence.